GGGCUCCGGGCGGCCGUGACCCUGCUGGAGUCCGGGGGGGACCUCCAGCCCCCCGGGGGGUCCCUGCGCCUCCUCUGCCGAGGGAGUGGAUUCGAGUUCGGGAAAUUUGGGAUGGGCUGGUGUCGCCAGAGACCCGGGAAGGCGCUGGAAUGGCUCGCAGGGAUCAACACUGGUGGCAGCACCUGGUACGCGCCAUCGGUGCAGGGCCGGUUCACCAUCAGCAGGGACAACGGGCAGAGCUCGGUGACGCUGAGCAUGAACAACCUCCAGGACGAGGAUUCCGGGGUUUAUUUCUGUGCCAAAGGUUCCAGCAAUGGUUACUGUAAUAGCGCUGCUGGUGUUGAGGACGAUCGUGGCUGUGACCCCUCCAUUCAUGAUGGGUCCCCAAAUAUCUCCAAUUCCUGGAGCGAGCCCGGCUGGGGAUAA